UAAACUGUCGUGCAAAAUACGACAACACAUAUACUGUGAUUUUUAAUACAAAUAUUGUAACGUAUAUAAUAUGAAAAUAUCCACACUCAAAUUAAGUACUCAUUACAAUUAUUGUCACACUAUUUUACAACAUAGUGUGUACUACUAUAGUAACUAUCUCGAACCAUUACUCCAUUCCCUGACUAGUCUCAGCUAUACUUUCAUUUCCUGAGAAGAACAAUGGAACAAAAAGGGUGAGCUCAACUAGCCCAGUAGAUAAUAUCAUAACUAAGAUAAUGAAGAAUAAUUUAUCUUUAGCCUUCAACAAUGAUAAAUCAGAUAAAAUAUAAUAGACAACAAAUUUUAAAUCAACAACUGUAGUGGAACAAGCAAUCCAUUAGACGAGUCAGGUAGAUCAUGAUGUCUACUAUUUUCUAUAAUUUAAAAAUUCAUCAUCAAUAUUUUAUCCUUGUAACAUGAAUCAACAAUUUAUAUUUGUACUACAGGCCAAAUAUAUUCAUUUGUAUCACUAGUGGUCAUGAUCAUGCCAAACAAAAGUCCAUAUUUGCACUACGGGCCAAAGAGAACUCUCACCAUAAGCCUUUAUCUGUAACACCAAAGGUCAUGAUUAUACCAAUACACAAUUCCUGGUCAUAAUCAUACUAAUCAACAGUCUAUCUUUGCACUAUGGGCCAAAUAUAACUUUUCACCACAAUUUAAGUCUGAGGAUGAUAACAAUGAUAUAAAGGAUAAAUAAAAGUGAGAUCAAGAAUAAAUAUUAAAUAUUUGUAAUUUAAUUUAUUCAGAGUUCAAGAAUGUCCAAAUUGUCAACAUGAUAACCAAUUGUGGAGUAAAAUUCAAGAAUAAUAUUUAAGACUUAUAUUUUAGAGAUAAUUUGGAUAGAAAAAGAAAACUAAAUUCUGUUGUGAAUAGUAUUCCGGCGUGAAUAGUACUGCGACACUUAAAAUUUAAUAAGAAAUUUAGGUAAUAAAUUAUUCAAGUGAAAAUGAUAUUAGAUGAAACGCAAACCUCAAGAACUUUCUAAUCAUUUCAGAAAUUAUAGAAGCAAUACUUACCAUAGUAAGUUUAGAUUUAGGAAUAUGAAUUGAGGUAAUAUCAUAAUAUGGAGUAUGAAAGAAAAUGAUACCCCUUACGAGUAUUGAAAGAAAAUAAUAUCAUUUAUCUUAGUAGGAGACUAGAUCUGACUGAUAUAUAGGAGAUUAUGUUGAGAAAAUUUUACACUAUAAGCUACACUCAAAGUAUCCUUAUACUCAAAGAAAUACACACAAUAUUAUAUAAGAAAAAUUUUU
rnacentral:lncRNA from 1 species